rnacentral:rRNA from 1 species
GAUGAACGCUGGCGGCGUGCCUAAUACAUGCAAGUCGAGCGAACGGACGAGAAGUUUGCGUUUUUGAUGUUAGCGGCAGACGGGUGAGUAACACGUGUAUAACCUACCUAUAAGACUGGGAUAAUUUCGGAAAACCGGCGCUAAUACCGGAUAAUAUUUUGAACCGUAGGGUUGAAAAGUGAAAGACGGUCUUGCGGGAACUUAUAGAUGCAUCCGCGCUGCAUUGGCUGGUUGGUAAGGUAACGGCUUACGAAGGCAACGAUGCAUAGCCGAGUUCAGAGGGUGAUAGGCGACCCUGGAAGUGGGACACGGACCAGACGCCUAAGGGAGGCAGCAGUAGGGAAUGGUACGCAAUAGGGGAAAGCCUUACGCAGCAAAGCAGAGUGAGUGAUGAAGGUCUUCGGAUCGUAAAACUCUGUUAUUAGGGAAGAACAUAUGUGUAAGUAACUGUGCACAUCUUGACGGCAACUAGUCAGAAAGCAACGGCUAACUACGUG